UAUCUGGUUGAUCCUGCCAGUAUUAUAUGCUGAUGUUAAAGAUUAAGCCAUGCAUGUGUAAGUAUAAAGACCAAGUAGGAUGAAACUGCGGACGGCUCAUUAUAACAGUAAUAGUUUCUUUGGUUAGUAAAAUACAAGGAUAGCUUUGUGAAUGAUAAAGAUAAUACUUGAGACGAUCCAGUUUGUAUUAGUACAAAAUGGCCAAUUCAUUCAAUGAAUUGAGAAAUGACAUUCUAAGUGAGUUAGGAUGCCACGACAAUUGUAGAACACACAGUGUUUAACAAGUAACCAAUGAGAAUUUCUGAUCUAUCAAUCAGUUGGUAGUAUCGAGGACUACCAAGAUUAUAACGGAUAACGAGGAAUUGGGGUUCGACAUCGGAGAGGGAGCUUUACAGAUGGCUACCACUUCUAAGGAAGGCAGCAGGCGCGUAAAUUACCCACUUUCGAAUUGAAGAGGUAGUGACGACACAUAACUCUAGAGUUGAGUAAAAUCAAG
rnacentral:rRNA from 1 species